CUCAGUGCGCCGGCAAUUGCUAAACCCGUCUCAACUCUAAUUAACGAAUCCUUGGUGUCUGGAUACAUACCCAAACUUUGGAAGACUGCGAGAGUAGUGCCUAUCCAUAAAAGUGGUGACACUACUUUGGUUUCUAACUAUCGCCCAAUAUCAUUGCUCCCGGUAUUGUCAAAAAUCUUAGAAAAAUGUGUCCAUACGCAACUUUGUGAGUACUACCAACAAUUAAACUAUCUGACCCCUGAUCAAUCGGGCUUUCGCCAGAAUCACUCCACUACAACUGCCCUCCUAAAAGUUUGCAAUGACAUCCAAACUGGCAUGGAACAAGGAGCCCUAACUGGAGCUAUUUUCCUUGAUUUUGCUAAGGCCUUUGACACAGUAGACCACGACAUUCUACUGCACAAACUCGAAAACUCAG